CCUGGAAGAAAUGAUGAAGGUCCUAUUGAUCCCAAUACGAACAUAUUCUCAAUUUUUAAUUAUCUUGGUCGACCGAGUGGACAAUGUAAGCAAAGAUAUUUAACUGAUCAAGAAUGGCGAGCAGCCCAGACAUAUGUUUUACUUAAUUGUCCAGAAGUAUCACCAUAUUUCGAGAUUUUUCAAAACUUGUAUUCUGAUAUGCCAACACUAGAGUUUGAUCGUUUCUGCGAUCAAGAAUUUGCACCUUGGUUCAAAUCAUAUGUUUAUGAUAAUCAAGCUCAUCUCGAACAUCAAAUGUUAUUUCAUCUAUCUUGGGGUCCAAAAGCAAUGGUACGCACUUGGCCAGCAUAUUUUAUAAAUGGAUAUAAUUUUCAUACUCAAGAAUAUGGAAAAGGGAAGACUACAAUGAAUAGUGGGGUAUGUGUUCAGUCAUCCAAUGAUGGAGGUGUAAGCACUGAUUUUUA